GUGCUCGCUUCGGCAGCACAUAUACUAAAAUUGGAACGAUACCAGAGAAGAUUAGCAUGGCCCCUGCGCAAGAAAAAAAAAAAAAGAAUGUAGACUAUAGAGUAGGUAUUU